rnacentral:rRNA from 1 species
UUUUUAAGAAAUUUUUUAAAGUAAUACCUGCUCAAUGUUAAAUAAAUAGCCGCAGUAUACUGUGCUAAGGUAGCAUAAUCAUUAGCUUUUUAAUUAAAAGAUAGAAUGAAAGGUAAUAUGAGAUGGUAUUUUUUUAUAAAAAACAAAAUAAACUUAAAAAAGAAGUAAAAAUUCUUCUAACUUUAGAAAGACGAUAAGACCCUGACAAACUUAUCAUUUAGCUGGGGCGGCUAAAACAAAAAACCUUUUCACUUUUAACAAUAUUAAUCUAUUAUUAAUAAUAUAAAAGUUACUGCAGGGAUAACAGCGCAAUUUUUUUCUAAAGUUCAAAUUUAAAAAAAAGUUUACGACCUCGAUGUUGAAUUAAUUUUCCUUUGUUAAGAGCAAAUUCUUCGAAAGAUAGUCUGUUCGACUAUUAAAUAAUU